AAGUCGUAACAAGGUCUCCGUUGGUGAACCAGCGGAGGGAUCAUUAUAGAGUUUUUUAAACUCCCAACCCAUGUGAACUUACCAUUGUUGCCUCGGCAGAAGCUACCUGGUUACCUUACCUUGGAACGGCCUACCCUGUAGCGCCUUACCCUGGAACGGCCUACCCUGUAACGGCUGCCGGUGGACUACCAAACUCUUGUUAUUUUAUUGUAAUCUGAGCGUCUUAUUUUAAUAAGUCAAAACUUUCAACAACGGAUCUCUUGGUUCUG
rnacentral:misc_RNA from 1 species